rnacentral:lncRNA from 1 species
GUCGGGCGUUGGGUUUCGCGGCGCUCGCCGCACUGGUUGUUCAGCACCUUCGGUCCGGUUGAGGUUGUCAAGUCGGACCAAACAGGUUGUUUCUCUGCAGUUUCCAACAUGGCAGGGAGGUUUAAUAGACAUGGAUAAGAAGUCCACUCACAGAAAUCCUGAAGAUGCCAGGGCUGGCAAAUAUGAAGGUAAACACAAACGAAAGAAAAGAAGAAAGCAAAACCAAAACCAGCACCGAUCCCGACAUAGAUCAGUGACGUCUUUUUCUUCAGAUGAUCCUAUGUUUCCUUCUUCCUCAUCAUCGUCUUCAGGAAGCCAGACAGAUUCAAGUAUUGAAGAUGCUGCCAAGGGAAAAAUUAAGAAGAAGAGAAGAGAGAAAACAAAUAAAUGGGAAAAAAGAAAGGGGCAUCAUGGAUCCUAACAACGUGUGAUGUCUCCCCCGGACGCCCAGCUUUAAAAUUUCUCUUUUGUACUCUGUCCCUUUAUUUCUCAAGCCAGCCGACGCUUAGGAAAAUAGAAAAGAACCUACAUGAUUAUCGGGGCAGGUCCCCCGAUAUCUGGCGCCCACGUGGUCUUUCUUUUUUCCUAAGUGCAUGAGGGAACCCGAUUCCCUUUGGUAGGUGCGGUGAAACAUCAAUCGGCUUGGUCCACAGAUAAGCGUGUUCAACUCCCCGACGAGUGGACAAAAUAUGAAACACCAAGAAAAAGAGAAGGAAAAAAAGGAGGAAACAACCACAUAUGUCACCUUUCCAAGAGGGACUGAAACUGGGCUGACCCUUUUGAUUUCCAAGCUCAGCGUUUUGGUGUAAGGCGGCCAAAGAAGGAUGCGGAGCCCAGCACUGUGAAGCCUACAAAAACAUUGAUGCGCUGGCUUGGGGAUUUGAAUUUGAACAUCUUUCACACUAAGUUCAGACUCAUGAAACCAAUCUUCAGAUGCUCUGUAAACCACAUAAUAAAGAGUUUGGAAAUUAUAUUUUGUUUUUGAAGGCCCACGUGCAAAACUUG